UUUGGGGAGUGUUGACAGAUUGAGAGCUCUUUCUUGAUUCGGUGGAUGAUGGUGCAUGUCCGUUCUUAGUUGGUGGAGCGAUUUGCCUGGUUAAUCCCGAUAACGAACGAGACUCUAGCCUAUUAAAUAGGAGCGUGGUUCUCUCCACCUUGCAUCCAAGCGGCUCCUAGCAGCACGAAGAAACCAUCUUCCCGAGGGGAACCAUGGGGUGAUGCGGAGGAUCGCGGAGUUUCCAACAACGUUCACGCGAUGUGAGGUAACCAACGCAAGUUAACAACGUAAUAACACGCAAGUUUUCACACUUGAAGGAGAGUAGACUAGAGGAAGAGAGUUGCGCAUGUGCGCGCGGUGUGAGUAGAAGCGGCACGCGAAGUGCACGCAGCUGGUAGAGAGAGAUAGCGGAGAGAGUAACGCGCAGCAGUUGGAGAGAGGGAAGGAGGAGAGUUGCGCAUGCGUAGUGUGAGUGCGGACUACGACGCCGCGGGACAUAGACCCGAGCAAGAGAUGCUCCGCAUCUAAAAAGAGCUAUAACAGAUCUGUGAUGCCCUUAGAU
rfam:Ixodes scapularis strain Wikel colony gcontig_1108378606372, whole genome shotgun sequence.